rnacentral:sRNA from 1 species
CUUUAAAAAUCUGGAUCAAGCUGAAAAUUGAAACGACACAUCUUUAAUGGUGUGUUCGAGUCUCUCAAAUGCUUGCAGCACGAAGUGAAACAUCUUCGG